rnacentral:rRNA from 1 species
UACGUAGGGGGCAAGCGUUGUCCGGAAUCAUUGGGCGUAAAGAGCGCGUAGGCGGUCCGGUAAGUCCGCUCUGAAAGUCCGGGGCUCAACCCCGGGAGGCGGGUGGAUACUGUCGGGCUCGAAUCCGGAAGAGGUGAGUGGAAUUCCUGGUGUAGCGGUGAAAUGCGCAGAUAUCAGGAGGAACACCAAUGGCGAAGGCAGCUCACUGGGACGGUAUUGACGCUGAGACGCGAAAGCGUGGGGAGCAAACAGG